UGAGGAAUAUUGGUCAAUGGUCGGGAGACUGAACCAGCCAAGCCGCGUGAGGGAUGAAGGUGCUAAGCAUUGUAAACCUCUUUUGUCAGGGAACAAAGGCAUCCACGAGUGGGUGUGUGAGUGUACCUGAAGAAAAAGCAUCGGCUAACUCCGUGCCAGCAGCCGCGGUAAUACGGAGGAUGCGAGCGUUAUCCGGAUUUAUUGGGUUUAAAGGGUGCGUAGGCGGCCUGUUAAGUCAGCGGUAAAAGCCCGGGGCUCAACCCGGCGAGCGUUGAAACUGGCUGGCUGGAGUUGGCGAGAGGUAUGCGGAAUGCGCGGUGUAGCGGUGAAAUGCUUAGAUAUCACGCAGAACUCCGAUUGCGAAGGCAGCAUACCGGCGCCCAACUGACGCUGAAGCACGAAAGCGUGGGUAUCGAACAGGAUUAGAUACC
rnacentral:rRNA from 1 species